AACUACUUCUCAUCCUUUAAAAAUAUGUACAAAUUAGUCCCCUUGCGAAUGCAUGCUUACAUCCUCAACGUUUGUGGACGUGGCAUAAUUUGAUUAGAUACUUUUUCACGCACAUGUCAUGUAGGAUUGUGAUGGAUAAACACAUAUGAACUUGUCUGAAAAACUAUAAAUACCUUCCCUUUUACGCCUCGCUCUUCCUUCUCUUCUUCCUCAUCUCUCUCCUCCUCUCUAUAUGUUUCCCUCUCUUCCACUACUUUCUUUCUCCUCUUCUUUCUCUUUUUUCUCUCUCUCACUUCACUCAUUUCUUUCUUGCUUCUUUCUCAUGCCAUAUACAUAAUAUUCAUGUAUAUAUUUAUGUAUGCACGUCGUCAUCUCCAGACACACUGUUGUCUCCUCUUCCAUU
rnacentral:lncRNA from 1 species